GACGAACGCUGGCGGCGUGCUUAACACAUGCAAGUCGAUCGGUAAGGCCCUUCGGGGUACACGAGUGGCGAACGGGUGAGUAACACGUGGGUGAUCUGCCCUGCACUUCGGGAUAAGCCUGGGAAACUGGGUCUAAUACCGGAUAGGACCACUGCCUGCAUGGGUGGUGGUGGAAAGCUUUUGCGGUGUGGGAUGGGCGCGCGGCCUGUCAGCUUGUUGGUGGGGUGGUGGCCUACCAAGGCGACGACGGGUAGCCGGCCUGAGAGGGUGACCGGCCACACUGGGACUGAGAUACGGCCCAGACGCCUACGGGAGGCAGCAGUGGGGAAUAUUGCACAAUGGGCGCAAGCCUGAUGCAGCGACGCCGCGUGAGGGAUGACGGCCUUCGGGUUGUAAACCUCUUUCAGCACCGACGAAGCGCAAGUGACGGUAGGUGCAGAAGAAGGACCGGCCAACUACGUGCCAGCAGCCGCAGUAA
rnacentral:rRNA from 1 species